AGUCCAUAAACAGGGCAACUGAGGGGUCACUGCAGGGGUUCUUGUCAAAAUCCAGUCUAUCUCUAGAGAAAAUCACAUUGUUGACGAUGGUAAGGAACCCUGUUUAGAGAUGAGAAAGAAUGAGGAAGAAGGAACAAGAAAGGAAGCAAGAUCUCCUCGGCUUAGAAAAGAAAGAUAUGUUCUGGAAUAUUCCUUUCUGCCUAAAGGUAAAGUUGGCCUUGCAUUGAUUACUGUUCUGCUCCCACACGCUGAAGGGAAAUUCUGACAGCUCCAUCCACCAUGCUGGAAUAGGAAGAUGACUCUGCUUUAGACAAGGGAAGCCAACAUUGGGUGGGGUGGGGCAAGACGACCAGUUUUGAGUUCCAUAAACAGACAGGUUAACACAGAUGGAGCUUACUCUGUGGGAAUGGAAAGAGCUGUACCAAGGGCCUGACCAGACCUUGCGGAGCUCAGGACGGCCAUUCAAUGUGGAGCUGAGACCAUGAAGACCUGGAACAGCCAAGAGCUCCUCCUAACUCAGCCUCCACUCUUCACAGGGGUGAACUUACUCUCCUGAGGAUCAGUUUGAGAAGGAAAAGCCUGACUCCGCCCCUUCCAUGCUGCGGUUCCUCCUUCCCAAAGGUGCUGUGGGGCUCAGCUGUUCUGCCUCCAACCAAGGGAGAAACUGGUGCCUCAUUUCAGCUGCUUGUCCUCCUGUCUGUCCGCAUCUUCACUCUCUUCUCGAGUGAACCCUCACCAGGAGUACAGCUGAGCUUGGGAAUUUGUUUGUUGCUAAGGUCAUGUUGCUGACAGCCCUUUUCCUCCACACUCAGACUUCAUCUUAAAAUAAAAGAAACCUUGGUUUGGUUUGGUUUGAUUUUAAUUGUAAUCCCGCACUGACAGCUUGGUGAAUUUGCAUACAUAACCAAAAUUCUUGAGCAAGGCUUGGCAGAAACAGCGCUGCAGAAGCAAAGGGAGCUUUCAUGUUAGCCAAGACCAGAAGAGGACCCAUCGGAAGGAUGGGGACCUAGGAGCCAAAGGAAGAAACACCCAAGAUCUGUUGUGAAACUGUCAGGAUUCUUUCCACCAUGGACUGUAGAGCAGGGCAGAUGUACAGAGAAGAAAGGGAAAGGAGAGACUCCAGGGAGUCGCAUGCACCCCUGUACCACAGUUAGAGAUGAACAAUGAGGAAGGUCUGGGUUAUGUCUCCUUCAAAGAUACUCAUCUUCCGUGUUAAGACACUCCAUCAUGCUUACCAGGCUUGCUGUGUUUCCUCGGAUCUUCAAAUUCUGUAAGCUGUGUAUAGCCUUAAGUUCAGAUAGUUCAGAAUAACCAAAAUUUCCUGUAUCGCCAUUUUAUAGGUGUUUUCCCUGAAUGACUGCCCAGAGUAUUGCUCGGGUUUUCCAGGUAAGUGGGGGAACUGGUCUGAACCCUAUGUGUCAUGAGCCCAGGAGGUCACAGGACACAGCCAGGCCCGACAUAGGAGGAUGCUGUAAGACCCCGCCUCCUAUAAGUGUGGUAUAGUGGUUAAUGUGGUCCCUGAAGUCUCCUCUUCCCCUGCCUUCUCUGAGAAGAGAAAUGGAGAUCAGUGGAUGAGUCCUUUGAUGGCAAGCCAGGUGCCUGCUGGUUCUGUCCAUGACGGGAACAGCAUAUGGUGUUCUAGAAGAGGCCAGGGAGGUGUAGCUAUGAGCGGGCCAGCUUCACACUGACCUGUGUCACCCCCUCGCCCCUGUGGCAUGUGGCUGCCACUCUCUCUUGUUCCCAACACGGGGCUGCAGUAUCAUAAAUGCUUUCUUUACGAUCAUCAAGGGAAGCACUCUGUCAAUGUCAUGGGGACAGCGACAAGCCAGGGAUCAAGAAGCAAGGAGAAUGAGGCACAGCAGGAGCCUAGAAUAGACCCUGUGCUGGAGAGAAAAUACGCUGAAGGUCAUCACAGUGUCAGGAUAAAAGUGGAAUCUGACAGAAGAGUUGAUGAAAUAUCGUGCUGGUGUUAAACUUACCAAACUCGAUAGCUAUGCUGUGAGUGUUUAGGGGAUAUCCGUGGUCUUGGGAAACACACUUGAAACAUUUAGAAGGCAAAUGUUUGGCGGGUAAGUGCUCAGGAUGCACACAGCUCACUCUAAGUUUUGAGGAAACGCAUGUAUCUAUCUUGAGAGAGAAAAUAUGUAGAGUACAAUCACCAAAGGAUACAGGGUAAAUGUCAACACAGGUACAUGGGGCAAAAUAUAUAUGACUCAAGUCCUCCAAACACACAGUUUGUAGUCUCCAGACUGAAUUGUGAUCCUUCUGUGGCACAGACCUUCUUCAGACAUGCCGCACAUGACAUUUUCUCCAACGUUUGAGCCCUGGGCUUCAUUUCUAGCAUGUCUGUGGUUACUGUGUUGUCUUGUUUCAUAGUCUCUCUCUCUCUCUCUCUCUCUCUCUCUCUCUCUCUCUCUCUCUCUCUCCACCUCAGCUCCCCACAGGGUCUCACUCCAAAGUCUGGGAGUCCAGGCUGGCUUAGAACUUACGACCUUCCUGCCUCGACUUCUUGGAAUCAUUGGUGUGCACCACCACAUCUGACGUCUGACACAUAUGCCGAUUUCAUCUGCACAGUUAGUUCAAGAUAUGAUAUUUCAAAAUAGCAAGACAUACGUAUAACAAGGAAUGCAUUGGUUCCCUGAGCCUGGUUCCUCACACAGCACAGCUAUAUCCCUGGGAACUCGGGGUAUACUAUUCUUUAAUGAAAUUAGUUUUAGUGGGAUCCCAACUGGAUGCUAGUCACCAAGACCAAACUAUAAUCAGGAGUUUGGAACUCCACUCACUCCUUGCCCCUGGGAGAAGGAGGAUGGGGAGUUGAGUAAAUAACUAGUCACCCCUAGUGGCAGUGCCUCCAUGACACUCCUGGACCACACCGGGUACUGUGUCUAUGUGUUAAGAAGAUGCUGCAUCCCAGUCCUUGCAGAUGGAGGGUCCUGUGCUCAGGACCCACAGACAUCGCAUCUCCCUGUGCAUCCAUGUUUUCUUGUAGUAAACCAGCGACUGUAUCUCCCUGAGCCCUGUGAUCUACCACAGCAAGCUACCAAACCUGAGGCCAUGGAUGUGCCAUUGAACUGUGAAUAACUUGAUUAGAGCCAUCUAGGAAAACGUUACCUCAAGUGAGAAAUCGCCUUCAUCACUCUGGCCUGUGGGCAUGCUGUGGGGCAUUUUCUGGAUUAUUGAUUUAUGGGGGGAGGGUGCAGGGAGGCGGUUCACUGUGGGCAGUUCAACUCCUGGGUACAUGGCCUUGGCUGUUUGAGAAAGCAGUCCGGGCAAUCAUGGAGAGCAAGGCAGUAAGCAAUACCCCUCAAUAGUCUCCGCUUCAGUUCCUGCCUUCA
rnacentral:lncRNA from 1 species